AAACUUACUACAAUGCACUUGAGAAGUAGGUAAUUUACGGUCCUUAUGUUUGUGAUGGUGGUUCCAGACUUGUUUCUAAGCAGUAUAUGACAAUAAAUUACAUCUCUGGUAGCAACUUGGGUAUUAUAUGGUGCCUAAGUUCCAUAUUUCCAAUAGUAUGUGAUGCUCAACAAAGUACUUAAGUGAUUUGCCUCUGUUAGUAUAUA
rnacentral:lncRNA from 1 species